ensembl:lncRNA
GCGAGAAUCCCUGGAGUUCAGCCAGCAGCAGGUGGAAAUGCCCGCUGCUGAAAAUGGCUCUUAGGUGACGGUUUCCUCGUGGCUGCGUGCAGCGGGGCUAGGGGAGGGUCUGUGCUGAUGGAUGGGGCUUACUGACCUGGUAGCCUGGCUGACCCUGGGUGGGUCCGGGACGGGCGUGGGGUUCUGGGGGUGCUCCAUCUCUGGGCUGGGGCCCUGGCUGGGCCUUGGGGGCUUGGGUCCUGGUUGGUGUGUUGCCGGGGUUGUGGGCGGUGGGUGUAUGGGGGCCCAGCCCUGGCGCAGGGUGCCGCCAGUGCAUCGAGCCACCUGGGGGGCUCUUCAACUGGUGCGCUCAUACUCACGGGUAUACACACGGGUGCUCACACACAAACUACACCCUUUUUGGCUGCUACCUCAAAGCAAAGUGCGCUGUCAAUCUUACGUGCUGCACAAUAAUGUUUAAUAUUUAGUAUUUACUGUGAUAUUCCCAUAGAUCAUCAUGAUGUUGUUUAUUAUGUUGCUCUUUUUUUUCCUUCUGCUUGUUUUCUCUUUUUUCUUUCUCAACAGGUGAUCCAGGUGAUUGAUAUAUGUGUUUAUUCUGCUUAUUUUGUUGUUUUUUGUUGUUUGCCUUUUAACACCUUUCCUCUUCCCCGCUGUUUUUCUUUCCCUCUUCCUUUCUCCCCUUUCUUUUCCCCAGUCAAGUCUGUCCCGUAUUUAGCAAGUGAAAAUAAAAUAAAAUGAACAAUAAAAGGUGAAUCAAAUAGACCAUAAAAAAAGCAGAUAAUUAGUGGUAAAUGACAGGCAGGUAAAUCAUAUUACUUGCCAUUUAAAUGCUCCAAAACACAAAAAACAUAUCACAGACGUGUUACAGAGUUGUUGACACCUAUCAAAGUGCCCUUAACAUUAAGCUUUAACAAAAUCCAGAUGGGAAGUUUGGUUUUUUUAAAGGCUGCAAACAUGUUUUUUAGUGGUUCUAAUUUGAUUGACUCACUGUCAGAGACAACCUUCAGUGGUCAAUCCUGGUAGCGCAGGAACCUAUAUUUGUG